UACGGGGGGAGCAAGCGUUGUUCGGAUUUACUGGGCGUAAAGGGCGCGUAGGCGGCGCAACAAGUCACUUGUGAAAUCUCCGGGCUUAACUCGGAAAGGUCAAGUGAUACUGUUGUGCUAGAGUGCGGAAGGGGCAACUGGAAUUCUCGGUGUAGCGGUGAAAUGCGUAGAUAUCGAGAGGAACACCUGCGGCGAAGGCGGGUUGCCUGG
rnacentral:rRNA from 1 species